rnacentral:rRNA from 1 species
UGGGGAAUAUUGCACAAUGGGCGCAAGCCUGAUGCAGCCAUGCCGCGUGUAUGAAGAAGGCCUUCGGGUUGUAAAGUACUUUCAGCGGGGAGGAAGGUGUUGAGGUUAAUAACCUCAGCAAUUGACGUUACCCGCAGAAGAAGCACCGGCUAACUCCGUGCCAGCAGCCGCGGUAAUACGGAGGGUGCAAGCGUUAAUCGGAAUUACUGGGAGUAAAGCGCACGCAGGCGGUCUGUCAAGUCGGAUGUGAAAUCCCCGGGCUCAACCUGUGAACUGCAUUCGAAACUGGCAGGCUAGAGUCUUGUAGAGGGGGGUAGAAUUCCAGGUGUAGCGGUGAAAUGCGUAGAGAUCUGGAGGAAUACCGGUGGCGAAGGCGGCCCCCUGUACAAAGACUGACGCUCAGGUGCGAAAGCGUGGGGAGCAAACA